GACGAACGCUGGCGGCGUGCUUAACACAUGCAAGUCGAACGGUGAAGCACCUUCCUUUUGGUGGGUGUGGAUGAGUGGCGAACGGGUGAGUAACACGUGAGUAACCUGCCCCCUUCUUCUGGAUAACCGCAUGAAAGUGUGGCUAAUACGGGAUAUUCUGCGCCUGUCGCAUGGCGGGCCUGGUAAAGAUAUGGUUUCGGUGGGGGAUGGGCUCGCGGCCUAUCAGCUUGUUGGUGGGGUGAUGGCCUACCAAGGCGGGGACGGGUAGCCGGCCUGAGAGGGUGGGCGGUCACACUGGGGCUGAGCCACGGCCCAGACUCCUACGGGAGGCAGCAGUGGGGAAUAUUGCACAAUGGGCGCCAGCCUGAUGCAGCGACGCCGCGUGAGGGAUGGAGGCCUUCGGGUUGUAAACCUCUUUCGCCAGUGAAGCAGGCCUGUCCCUUUUGUGGGUGGGUUGACGGUAGCUGGAUAAGAAGCGCCGGCUAACUACGUG
rnacentral:rRNA from 1 species